rnacentral:rRNA from 1 species
CCAGACUCCUACGGGAGGCAGCAGUGGGGAAUAUUGCACAAUGGGCGCAAGCCUGAUGCAGCCAUGCCGCGUGUAUGAAGAAGGCAUUCGGGUUGUAAAGUACUUUCAGCGGGGAGGAAGGCGAUAAGGUUAAUAACCUUGUUGAUUGACGUUACCCGCAGAAGAAGCACCGGCUAACUCCGUGCCAGCAGCCGCGGGAAUACGGAGGGUGCAAGCGUUAAUCGGAAUUACUGGGCGUAAAGCGCACGCAGGCGGUCUGUCGAGUCGGAUGUGGAAUCCCCGGGCUCAACCGGGGAGCAGCAUUCGAAGCUGGCAGGCUGGAGUCUUGUAGAGGGGGGGUGGAAUUCCAGGUGUAGCGGUGAGAUGCGUAGAGAUCUGGAGGAGUACCGGUGGCGAGGGCGGCCCCCUCGGCAAAGACUGACGCUCAGGUGCGAGAGCGUGGGGAGCAAACAGGAUUAGAUACCCGCGUAUU